rnacentral:rRNA from 1 species
GAAUAUGGGGGGACCAUCCUCCAAGGCUAAAUACUCCUGACUGACCGAUAGUGAACCAGUACCGUGAGGGAAAGGCGAAAAGAACCCCGGCGAGGGGAGUGAAAAAGAACCUGAAACCGUGUACGUACAAGCAGUGGGAGCCUCUUAAUGGGGUGACUGCGUACCUUUUGUAUAAUGGGUCAGCGACUUAUAUUCUGUAGCAAGGUUAACCGAAUAGGGGAGCCGAAGGGAAACCGAGUCUUAACUGGGCGUUAAGUUGCAGGGUAUAGACCCGAAACCCGGUGAUCUAGCCAUGGGCAGGUUGAAGGUUGGGUAACACUAACUGGAGGACCGAACCGACUAAUGUUGAAAAAUUAGCGGAUGACUUGUGGCUGGGGGUGAAAGGCCAAUCAAACCGGGAGAUAGCUGGUUCUCCCCGAAAGCUAUUUAGGUAGCGCCUCGUGAAUUCAUCUCCGGGGGUAGAGCACUGUUUCGGCAAGGGGGUCAUCCCGACUUACCAACCCGAUGCAAACUGCGAAUACCGGAGAAUGUUAUCACGGGAGACACACGGCGGGUGCUAACGUCCGUCGUGAAGAGGGAAACAACCCAGACCGCCAGCUAAGGUCCCAAAGUCAUGGUUAAGUGGGAAACGAUGUGGGAAGGCCCAGACAGCCAGGAUGUUGGCUUAGAAGCAGCCAUCAUUUAAAGAAAGCGUAAUAGCUCACUGGUCGAGUCGGCCUGCGCGGAAGAUGUAACGGGGCUAAACCAUG